rnacentral:tRNA from 1 species
CAGAGAAUAGUUUAUUAAAAUAUUAAUUUUGGAGAUUAAAGUUGGGUUUUUCCUUUUUCUGA